GAUGAACGCUGGCGGCGUGCCUAAUACAUGCAAGUCGAGCGAACAGACGAGGAGCUUGCUCCUCUGAUGUUAGCGGCGGACGGGUGAGUAACACGUGGAUAACCUACCUAUAAGACCGGGAUAACUUCGGGAAACCGGAGCUAAUACCGGAUAACAUGUUGAACCGCAUGGUUCAACAGUGAAAGACGGUCUUGCUGUCACUUAUAGAUGGAUCCGCGCCGCAUUAGCUAGUUGGUAAGGUAACGGCUUACCAAGGCAACGAUGCGUAGCCGACCUGAGAGGGUGAUCGGCCACACUGGAACUGAGACACGGUCCAGACUCCUACGGGAGGCAGCAGUAGGGAAUCUUCCGCAAUGGGCGAAAGCCUGACGGAGCAACGCCGCGUGAGUGAAGAAGGUCUUCGGAUCGUAAAACUCUGUUAUUAGGGAAGAACAAAUGUGUAAGUAACUAUGCACGUCUUGACGGUACCUAAUCAGAAAGCCACGGCUAACUACGUG
rnacentral:rRNA from 1 species